ACACGACUACAUUAGAUACCCGUGUAGUCCUAGCCGUAAACGAUACUCGCUAGGUGUCGGCCACGGUGCGACCGUUGUCGGUGCCGUAGGGAAGCCGUGAAGCGAGCCACCUGGGAAGUACGGCCGCAAGGCUGAAACUUAAAGGAAUUGGCGGGGAGCACAACAACGGGUGGAGCUCGCGGUUUAAUUGGACUCAACGCCGGAAAACUCAUCGGGAGCGACAGCAGUAUGAUUGCCAGGUUGAUGACCUUGCUUGACAAGCUG
rnacentral:rRNA from 1 species